GACGAACGCUGGCGGCGUGCUUAACACAUGCAAGUCGAACGAUGAAGGGGAGCUUGCUUCCUGGAUUAGUGGCGAACGGGUGAGUAACACGUGAGUAACCUGCCCUGGACUCUGGGAUAACUCCGAGAAAUCGGUGCUAAUACCGGAUAGGACCUGGAACCGCAUGGUUUUGGGUGGAAAGUUUUUCGGUCUGGGAUGGA
rnacentral:rRNA from 1 species